AUGCUUACCUGGAAGGGGAGACACCUUGAUCACAAAAGAGGUUUUCUCAGGGUGAGGCUCAGACAUUGCACUCUGGCUGUGCUGACCCCUGCGAUAUCCCUAAAUGCGGGAAACUCGACUGCAUAAUUUGUGGUAGUGGAGGACAGAGUGCGCGCUUUCCCCUG
rnacentral:snRNA from 1 species